UACGGGGGGGGCAAGCGUUGUUCGGAAUUAUUGGGCGUAAAGAGCUCGUAGGCGGUUUGUCACGUCGGAUGUGAAAACCCGAGGCUUAACCUCGGGCCUGCAUUCGAUACGGGCAGGCUAGAGUUCGGUAGGGGAGACUGGAAUUCCUGGUGUAGCGGUGAAAUGCGCAGAUAUCAGGAGGAACACCGGUGGCGAAGGCGGGGUCUCUGGGGCCGAUACUGACGCUGAGGAGCGAAAGCGUGGGGAGCGAACAGG
rnacentral:rRNA from 1 species